AUUGAACGCUGGCGGAAUGCUUUACACAUGCAAGUCGAACGGCAGCACGGACUUCGGUCUGGUGGCGAGUGGCGAACGGGUGAGUAAUGUAUCGGAGCGUGCCCAGUCGUGGGGGAUAACGUAGUGAAAAUUACGCUAAUACCGCAUACGAUCUAUGGAUGAAAGCGGGGGAUCGCAAGACCUCGCGCGAUUGGAGCGGCCGAUAUCAGAUUAGGUAGUUGGUGGGGUAAAGGCCCACCAAGCCAACGAUCUGUAGCUGGUCUGAGAGGACGACCAGCCACCCUGCAACUGAGACACGGUCCAGACGCCUACGGGAGGCAGCAGUGGGGAAUUUUGGACAAUGGGCGAAAGCCUGAUCCAGCCAUUCCGCGUGCAGGAUGAAGGCCCUCGGGUUGUAAACUGCUUUUGUACAGAACGAAAAGGUUUCUACUAAUACUAGGAGCUCAUGACGGUACUGUAAGAAUAAGCACCGGCUAACUACGUGCCAGCAGCCGCGGUAA
rnacentral:rRNA from 1 species